CGGGAGGCAGCAGUAGGGAAUCUUCGGCAAUGGACGAAAGUCUGACCGAGCAACGCCGCGUGAGUGAAGAAGGUUUUCGGAUCGUAAAACUCUGUUGUUAGAGAAGAACGUUGUGUAGAGUGGAAAAUUACACAAGUGACGGUAUCUAACCAGAAAGGGACGGCUAACUACGUGCCAGCAGCCGCGGUAAUACGUAGGUCCCGAGCGUUGUCCGGAUUUAUUGGGCGUAAAGCGAGCGCAGGUGGUUUAAUAAGUCUGAUGUAAAAGGCAGUGGCUCAACCAUUGUGUGCAUUGGAAACUGUUAGACUUGAGUGCAGUAGAGGAGAGUGGAAUUCCAUGUGUAGCGGUGAAAUGCGUAGAUAUAUGGAGGAACACCGGUGGCGAAAGCGGCUCUCUGGACUGUAACUGACACUGAGGCUCGAAAGCGUGGGUAGCAAACAGGAUUAGAUACCCUGGUAGUCCACGCCGUAAACGAUGAGUGCUAGUUGUUUGGGGCUAUCCAGCCCUAAGUGACGCAGCAAACGCAUUAAGCACUCCGCCUGGGGAGUACGACCGCAAGGUUGAAACUCAAAGGAAUUG
rnacentral:rRNA from 1 species